rnacentral:rRNA from 1 species
CGGCGGACGGGUGAGUAACGCGUGGGUAACCUGCCUCAUACAGGGGGAUAACAGUUAGAAAUGACUGCUAAUACCGCAUAAGCGCACAGUACCACAUGGUACGGUGUGAAAAACUCCGGUGGUAUGAGAUGGACCCGCGUCUGAUUAGGUAGUUGGUGGGGUAACGGCCUACCAAGCCGACGAUCAGUAGCCGACCUGAGAGGGUGACCGGCCACAUUGGGACUGAGACACGGCCCAA